rnacentral:lncRNA from 1 species
UUCUUACUUGAUUUUGCAUCAGUUCCUGUAAGACUUCCCAGGUAUUUCCAAAAGCAUCUUGUAUUUCCUUUAUCAUAAUAGUAUUCCUUCACAAUCAUAUAAGAUAACCUGUUUAGUCAUUCCUCAAUUAAUGAGCAUCUCCUCAGUUUCCUAUUCUUUGCCACCACAAAAAGAGCUGAUAUAAAUAUUUUUCUACAAACAGGUCCUUUUUUGAUUCAUAUUUUCUUGAAUAUUUUUUUCCUUUCUUUCCUUUCCUUUCCUUUUCUUUUCUCUUUUCUUUCUUUUCUUUUCUUUUCUUUUUCUUUCUCCUUCUCAAGAUGGUAAAUAUUUUGAUAUAAGUAAUACCAGUGCUGUUAUAUAAUAAAUAUUGCCAUAUUUCUCAUGCCAUCAAAGAAGAUACACAUUGUACAUAUAGUAAAAAACUCAUAAAGUGAAAAAUGGAAUGCUUUGAUCUGCUUUCAGAUUCCUUUAUAUCCUUUGAUGGCUCUGGAUAAUAUUUUUCACCAUGAGCCCCUUGAUUCUUGACCACUUUUUUCUUUCAGAUGAAUUUUGUUUUUAAACAUUACAAAGCAUCUCAAAAGGUCAAAAGUCAAAACAGAACAAGUAAAGGGGCUCUUCCCCAGGACACAAGAUGGAAGGUAGGCAGUGAGAGGGGAUUCCCACUCUAUAAGAGAGCAAAACUGCAUAAGGAAAGCUCAAGCUGACCACCCUCCCACCAUCUUCCAUGUCAGUCAGAGCCAGGGCUAGGGAAGUCUCCAAAUUCUUGGUGGCUGCCUGAAAGCACCACAAACUCACCCCUGAAGGCUGUGCCAAGCCUGGGCAGUGAGACUUGAGGAAUAGCAGGGAACUUGGUCCUGAGGCAGCAGCAGCUGAGGAAGGUAGCAAAGGGCAAAAGUCUCUGAAGCACACUACACAAAAACCACUACAGAUCUACCUACCUGCCCUCUCUGGAUCCUCUGAUAGGGAAGGAAAGUUAGUCCCAAGGCAUAACCCUGUAAGACAGAAACUAAGACAGCAAUGACCACCAGCAUGCAGGAAGCUCAGUCCUCCAUGGGGAAAAGGAGUAAACAACAUCAAAAGAAAAGCUCUUGACCCUGGAAAAUUUCUUUGAGCAAAAUACAG